ensembl:snoRNA SNORD35B small nucleolar RNA, C/D box 35B
GGCACAUGAUGUCUGUUCUCACGAUGGUCUUCAGAUGCCCACCAAGGGCCCUGCUGAGAAAGCCACUUGGCAAGGCUGAUGCCAGAAG